rnacentral:rRNA from 1 species
UACGUAGGGGCCGAGCGUUGUCCGGAGUUAUUGGGCGUAAAGAGCUCGUAGGCGGUUUGUCGCGUCUGCUGUGAAAUCCCGAGGCUCAACCUCGGGCCUGCAGUGGGUACGGGCAGACUGGAGUGCGGUAGGGGAGAAUGGAAUUCCUGGUGUAGCGGUGGAAUGCGCAGAUAUCAGGAGGAACACCGAUGGCGAAGGCAGUUCUCUGGGCCGUAACUGACGCUGAGGAGCGAAAGCGUGGGGAGCGAACAGG